AACGAACGUUAGCGGCGCGCCUAAGACAUGCAAGUCGAGCGAGAAAGGGAUUCGUCCCCGGUAAAGCGGCGCACGGGUGAGUAACACGUAGGUAAUCAACCCUCGAGUGGUGGACAACUCUCCGAAAGGAGAGCUAAUACAGCAUGACGUGGCGGUCUUCCGAGAUCGUUUCCAAAGCGGGCCUCUUCAUGAAAGCUCGCGCUCGAGGAUGAGCCUGCGGCCCAUCAGCUAGUUGGCGGGGUAACAGCCCACCAAGGCAUAGACGGGUAGCUGGUCUGAGAGGAUGAACAGCCACACUGGAACUGAGACACGGUCCAGACUCCUACGGGAGGCAGCAGUCGGGAAUCUUCCGCAAUGGGCGAAAGCCUGACGGAGCGACGCCGCGUGAGUGAUGAAGGCCUUCGGGUUGUAAAGCUCUGUGGGGAGGGAAGAAUAAGUUCAAGCGAAUACCUUGAAUGAUGACGGUACCUCCUUAGCAAGCACCGGCUAACUCUGUGCCAGCCGCCGCAGUAA
rnacentral:rRNA from 1 species